CGGAGAUCAAUUAAGGAGGCACGGCUCAUCUUGAUUUUCUCUUCUCAACCCUUCCCUGAUCUUGCCUCCCGGUUCUGCCGAUCCUUUCUUCCCCGAUUCGAUCGCCGGCUUGAAGGUGCCCUAGGGUUUCGAAGGUCACGGUUUUGGAGAAGUUGGUAUCAGGGAGGUGUUGUUGGAUUAGGGGAAGGAAUCGAAUCAGACUUGUGCUAGGUUUUCCCUGAUCAGAUUGGUCAUCUUCUUGUGGUUUGUAAUCGAUCAGUGAUGAUCUUCCGAUUGGGUGACUUCUUCUGGAGAUGACCUUUAGAGAUCAGCUUCUUUGCUGUGUUUGAGGUAUCAGCUGAAGUGGGGAAGAAUUCCAGUAGGGCUAGCUGUGAUUCCAUUGAUCCAGCCAGGAAAAUUCCUCUCACUGUGCUCUGUGGUGUUCUUGAUCAAGCAACUCACCUUUGUUUCAGCAGACACCUCAUCCAGCAGCUGUGCUGGUUCUAGCAUCAACAACAUUUGAGAUCAAGGAUUCUGAUUCGAGACAGA